rnacentral:rRNA from 1 species
UUCGCCUACGGGAGGCAGCAGUGGGGAAUAUUGGGCAAUGGGCGCAAGCCUGACCCAGCAACGCCGCGUGAAGGAAGAAGGCCCUCGGGUUGUAAACUUCUUUUGUCAGGGACGAAACAAAUGACGGUACCUGACGAAUAAGCCACGGCUAACUACGUGCCAGCAGCCGCGGUAAUACGUAGGGGGCAAGCGUUAUCCGGAUUUACUGGGUGUAAAGGGCGUGUAGGCGGGAGAGCAAGGCAGGU